rnacentral:rRNA from 1 species
AUUGAACGCUGGCGGCAGGCUUAACACAUGCAAGUCGAGCGGGGACUUCGGUCCUAGCGGCGAACGGGUGAGGAAUGCUUGGGAAUCUGCCCAGUAGCGGGGGAUAACGUUUCGAAAGGAACGCUAAUACCGCAUACGCCCUACGGGGGAAAGGGGGGGAUCUUCGGACCUCUCACUAUUGGAUGAGCCCAAGUCGGAUUAGCUAGUUGGUGGGGUAAAGGCCUACCAAGGCGACGAUCCGUAGCUGGUCUGAGAGGAUGAUCAGCCACACUGGAACUGAGACACGGUCCAGACUCCUACGGGAGGCAGCAGUGGGGAAUAUUGGACAAUGGGCGAAAGCCUGAUCCAGCCAUGCCGCGUGUGUGAGGAAGGCCUUCGGGUUGUAAAGCACUUUAAGCGAGGAGGAAUGGCUCUUGGUUAAUAACCUUGAGCAGUGACGUUACUCGCAGAAUAAGCACCGGCUAACUCUGUGCCAGCAGCCGCGGUAAUAC